rnacentral:rRNA from 1 species
UACAGAGGUCCCGGGCGUUGUUCGGAUUCACUGGGCGUAAAGGGUGCGUAGGUGGUGAGGUAAGUCGGAUGUGAAAUCUCGGAGCUUAACUCCGAAACUGCAUUGGAAACUACCUCGCUAGAGGGUUGGAGGGGGGACUGGAAUGCUUGGUGUAGCAGUGAAAUGCGUAGAUAUCAAGCGGAACACCAGUGGCGAAGGCGAGUCCCUGGACAACUCCUGACACUGAGGCACGAAAGCUAGGGGAGCAAACGGG